rnacentral:rRNA from 1 species
GAUAAACUCGGGGGACUGCUGACUAUAACCAUUUCUCAAAACAGAGGAAGGUUGCGGCAAUAACAGGUCUGUGAUGCCCUCAGAUGUCCCGGGCUGCACACGUGCUACAAUGAGUGGCGCAAUGUGCUAAUGUUUAAGGGAUAAGAGUGUGGUCAGUAGAACGUCGGGAUUUCCCCUGACGUCUCCCCCGCACGAUUAUCAGCCUUCCCUUAACAGGGCGGGCAACCUUUUCAAAAUACUGGUUUGAUGUUAAAGUAUUGAGUCGUUUUUUUUGGAUGGUGGUUUGUUAACCAAUACCAUCCGGCAACUGCUCGCGAGUUUGUGGUUCUGGCGACUCAUGGUGGGGACCGACGUUUGUAAUUUUUUGUCGCGUGUUAACUAGGAAUGCCUUGUACUGUCGAUUCACUAAG